rnacentral:rRNA from 1 species
CAAGUCCUCUUGGCCCUUACGGGNUGGGCUCCACAAGCGCUNCAAUGGUGGUGACAGUGGGUAGAGAGGCAGGGAUGAAGNGCUNAUCUCCAAUAGCCAUCUCAGUUCGGAUUGCACUCUGCAACUCGAGUGCANGAAGUUGGAAUCGCUAGUAAUCGCAGAUCAGCAUGCUGCGGUGAAUACGUUCCCGGGCCUUGUACACNCCNCCCGUCACACCAUGGGAGUUGGUUUUACCCGAAGGUAGUGCGCUAACCGCAAGGAGGCAGCUAACCACGGUAGGGUCAGCG